AAAUGGCAUCUGUCCAAGCCAUGGGCUGGCAUUUUCUCCAGGAAAAUUCUGUGGAAACAUUUUUGGAAGCUUGACAAAUGUCCAGGCAGACAAUAGUCACAGCCUUUUCCUCAUAAACUCAGUUGGUCAGCCUGUCUCAGAGGGAGAUCAUGUUAGCCGAGCAGGACUUGCCUUUCAUAGACUCAUCUGGCUGGGCGUGAUACCCUGGGUGUGCUGCAUGUGUCAUGUGAUGGCACUCAAGACCUCUCCACAGCCUUGCUGCAGUACCAGGGUGGGGCUGACAGGCUUCCAGUUCUGCUGAUUCUACUUCCUGCCCUUCUUGUUGAUGGGAGUCAUGUUUGCCAGCCUCUGGUCAACUGGAGCUCCCCAGUCAGCCAGGUCUGCUGAUAAAUGAUGGGAAGUGGCACAUUGGGAGCUUCCACCAACUCCCUCAGUACCCAUAAGAGGAUCCCGUCUGGCACCAUAGAUGUCUGUGUGACUAGGUGGUGUAGGAGAUCAAUGACUAUGUAGUCUUGGAUUAUGGGACUUUAUUUGCUCACUGUACCUGUCUUCCAGCUUACAGGGCCUAGUACUCAAAACCCAGUUGGUCUUACUAUUGAAAAAUGAGAGAAAGAAGACAUUUUCUCUGUGUUUUCUUCAUCCUUUUCCACUCUUUCCCCCCAUUUCCAGUAAAUAGGGAUCCUAUUUCUUCAAAAUUCCUUUUAAAGCAACAAUGGGGAAGGACUGGAUUUUGUUCUUUUAUACUCUCCCUCUUACCAAUGCAAAGAAUGAAUAUUAUUAAGCUUGUAUUUGUAGUGACAGGAAUAAAACCCAUUCAGUAUUAAACUAUCUAUUUAAAUAAUCAGAAAAAUGUCAGGACCAAUUUUCAUAUUCACUUAUAGCUCAUAUAUAGUUUUAAAAAUUAAGUCAGUCCCUUCCUCUGUGUGGGAAACUACUUUCUUCUUCAUGCCUACCUUUCUGGUGUUUUCUGUUGGAACUCCUAGAGGAGCUGUGUUACUUGGUAAUGAGCAUUUCAUACAGGGAACUGUCAACCCAAGUCAUUGAAGAAAAAGAGAAAACUUCUACUUUCCAGCUUUGCAACACUUCUGGAGAGAUUUAUUGAAGCAGCACUACUCAAAGUGAAUUCAAGAAUCUCUCUGUCAGGAUAUAAGAAGUAGGAUCUUACUCAACUACAGAUAAAAUAAGCCAUGCAUUGAAUAUAUCAGGGAUUUUUUUAAAUGAAGAUAAAACUGGCAAUUGAAACACGGUCAUGAGAAUCCAAAAAUGGUAAGUGCAAUGCAAUCUGCCUUAUCAACAGAGGAGAAAGCACACGGAGACAAGCACAGGUGACUGAACCAAAACAAACUAACAACACAGAGGAGAAAGUCUACCAG